CCGUCACUUUCAUUUCGCUUACCCAAAAUUCAAGAAUCUAGCCAUUAAAGGAGAGAACCCACGACCUCCAAAACCGGAAACUAAAAAACCACAGUCAAUACCACCUGUAAAUACAGUGUCUUUGGUUGUUUUGUUAUCGACAUUUUAAGGCCCAGAAAUUUUCUUUGAAUCUGCACAAAGCAGUAGCAGCCUUUAGAAGAAAUCAAGAAAAGUCACAAAAAUGGACGGAGGGAACAACAAAAACAGGCCGAAAGAUAAUGAUGGCAGUGGAUGAGAGCAAGGAGAGCAUGCACGCUCUCUCUUGGUGUCUUGCCAACCUUGUCUCUGCCACUUCUAAUAGCACGUUAGUCCUCCUCUACGUUAAGCCUCCACCUUCUAUCUACUCUGCCUUUGACAUUGCAGGGUACAUAUUUUCUGGUGAUGUGAUUUCUGCCUUGGAAAAAUGUAGCAAGGAUUUGGUGAACUCUGUAAUGGAACGAGCAAAACUGUUUACAGGAACUUCAAUCUAAAAGUAGAAAGAGGAGUUGGGAGCGGAGAGGCAAAGGAUGUGUGAUAUGCAAUACAGUAGAGAAACUUGGAGCCGACACCCUUGUUAUGGGAAGCCAUGGUUAUGGUUUCUUGGAGAGAGCCAUCCUUGGAAGUGUGAGCGACCAUUGUGCCAAACAUGCAAAAUGUCCAGUGGUGAUCGUGAAGCAGCCAGAGGAAAAUUGACUUAAUUUCCUCCCACAAACUUUCCAAGGGAUGAUUCCAGCUUUCCCCCAGCAUCAUGCAUCUAUAGAUUCUACUCAUCUACUUGUAAAACUACUUGAAUCAACUAAAAAGUUUGUGGAUAAUUGGGCAUACAGCUACACGCAAUCUUUUUGAUUCUGCGCAUCCCAUUGAUAUAAAAAUUGUGUAUUGAUUUCUCAAAUUUCAAA